CAAAACAGUAAUUAAAACCACUUAUUAAUUAUGUUAAAAACAAAGGCUAAGUUUGCCAUUAGCUUUGCCAAAUUAGUUUAUAUCUUUUAUAUUUUCACAUAUUUAAAUAUAUACAGACUAUCGUACUUUGCAAACUUUUAAAGUACGAUGUAGACUACUAAUCUGCUUGGGGAGAAAUUAUAUGAAAGAGACUUUUUUGUUUUACAUAUCCUAAAAAAUAAACAAGACACUUUUUUAAAUUGAUAGGACCAAAGCCUUCGUUACUGUAUAUCUAAUAUAAAACAAUGUUGUCAUUUAUCUUUAUUAAUUCUUUCAUACUUAUUUAAAGUAUUAAAAAAAAUGUGGUUUUGUCUCUUUCAUAAAUAUGAUGUAUUAAAGAGACGCAUGCAUUUUUGAAAACGACAACAUGAAAUCUCACACAAAGUGACACUGUAUUAAAGAAAUUCUAGCUUAAUAUUUAGUGCAUAAUUAGUGUAAAAUAGGUUUCUAAGAUAAUUUUUAAAGUGUCAGUUAUUUAGUAUGUCCCUUUCAUAACUAUUUAUUGUGACCCUUUCCUAAAUAUAGUAUGUUAUAUUUUUAAAUGUGAUAUAAGUAAUUAAUAAAUUAAAAAAAAAAACGACUUAAAAGUGAUUAUUAGAUUUAAUAUCAGCAUUCUAAAGGCAUUUACAAUUUUUACUUAUUUAUUUAUUAAUUAUCACAAUUUUUACAAUGUGUUUAUAACCAUUAAAAACGAUGGCGUAAACAUAAGUUCGUAUGACUUUUAUCGUACUUAUUAAGUAAUUACUUAGUAAGAAUAUUUUGUUACAAAUAAUUAUUUAAUAAUAAAAUAAAUAUAAAAUAGCAA